CUCGUGUCGUGAGAUGUUCGGUUAAGUCCGCUAACGAGCGCAACCCUCGCUGUGUGUUACAAGUGUCACACGGAACUGCCGGUCAUAAACCGGAGGAAGUGGGGAUGACGUCAAGGUCAGGCAUGGCCUUUAUAUCCUGGGCUACACACACGGCUACAAUGGGAAGGGACAAUAGGUUGCGAAGCCGCGAGGCGGAGCCAAGUCCAGCAAACUCCCUCAGUUCAGAUUGCAGGCUGCAACUCGCCUGCAUGAAGUUGGAGUUGCUAGUAAACGCAGGUCAGCCAUACUGCGUUGAAUACGUUCCCGGGGCCGUU
rnacentral:rRNA from 1 species